GUGAACGCUGGCGGUAGGCCUAACACAUGUAAGUCGAACGGCAGCACAGUAAGAGCUUGCUCUUCCGGGUGGCGAGUGGCGGACGGGUGAGGAAUACAUCGGAAUCUACUUUUUCGUGGGGGAUAACGUAGGGAAACUUACGCUAAUACCGCAUACGACCUACGGGUGAAAGCAGGGGAUCUUCGGACCUUGCGCGAUUGAAUGAGCCGAUGUCGGAUUAGCUAGUUGGCGGGGUAAAGGCCCACCAAGGCGACGAUCCGUAGCUGGUCUGAGAGGAUGAUCAGCCACACUGGAACUGAGACACGGUCCAGACUCCUACGGGAGGCGGCAGUGGGGAAUAUUGGACAAUGGGCGCAAGCCUGAUCCAGCCAUACCGCGUGAGUGAAGAAGGCCUUCGGGUUGUAAAGCCCUUUUGUUGGGAAAGAAAAGCAGCAGGUUAAUACCCCGCUGUUCUGACGGUACACAAAGAAUAAGCACCGGCUAACUUCGUG
rnacentral:rRNA from 1 species